rnacentral:rRNA from 1 species
UACGGAGGGUGCAAGCGUUAUCCGGAUUCACUGGGUUUAAAGGGUGCGUAGGCGGCGCGGUAAGUCGGGUGUGAAAUCUCGGGGCUUAACUCCGAAACUGCAUUCGAUACUGCCGUGCUUGAGGACUGGAGAGGAGACUGGAAUUUACGGUGUAGCGGUGAAAUGCGUAGAUAUCGUAAGGGAAGACCAGUGGCGAAGGC